GCCGGAUCCGGAAGUAGGGGUCGCCCCGCCCACCAGCCAAGAAGCGGCCCAGCACGGUGACGUGUCGUUGUAGGAGUUGGCUUUACUCGCCGUGCGUACACCCAGUUGGAGCUCUGAGCGAGUCAGCUGUCUGGAAUCCCGAUGUCGUUUUCAUUCUCAAAGACUCCAGUUGUCCGGGUUUUUAAUUUACUUUACCCAGAGUGUUGAGGCUGUCAGGUCUCGGGGCAGGAAGCACCAGGUCACCGUGGGUUCAUCACUGAGUAUCCCAGGCCAUCCUGGGAAGUGAUUCUCGGUCUUAAGCUUGUGGUGGUCUGUGAAAGCGAGCGGGAAACCCUGGGAACCCUCAGGCGUUAGCACCGCAAGUCUGCGACCCUAAAUUCAGGUCUAGAACCUGUGUCCUCCGGCGACCAGGGCCGAGCGAGCACUUCUAGUUUGCUUCGCCUUCGUCUCUCCAGGCCCUGCUGUAGAGUUGGAAGAUGCAGAGACCAGGCCCCUGCAGCCCUGGGAAGUGAGACAGUGAACAAUAAACACGAUCGUUUCCGAAAUUGGUAGACACCGAGGAGCAGCGGUGGAAAUGGGGGACACCUACAUUCUACAUUAUCCCUCUUAGCACAAGUAGAAGCUGGGGAGACCUACAGAGUGGCCUAGCGUGUGAUGAACCCAUGCCCAGAGGCACAUCGCUAGAUCACAAUGUUCCAAAGCCAGGACGCUCAGCCAGUACAAAUUACCUUUGAUGUUAAAG
rnacentral:lncRNA from 1 species